rnacentral:lncRNA from 1 species
CGACUGCUUUCUUGGGGACCAAGAAAAUGAACGUUUGUCUUCACAUUUACCCCAGCAAUCCAUGAGAUAAGUCAUCCCCUCCUGAUGGGUUGAGAAAAGGUAGCACGGACUGUGGGGAGUACUGGGGAUUCUCCCCUGUCUAUUCUGUCUCCUGGAACAUGCAUGAUUCAUGAACGUUAGCUCUGCUCGGAAGGGUAAAGGAUGGCUUUCUGGGUAAUGGACACUGAAAGUGGAAAGGCAGGGUGUGGACCCUAGAAAAACAAAACUGAACAUGAACAAGCAAAAUCUUCAAAGGACAAAAAGGAGGAGAGGAGACAAGCUGCGUGGAAGAGUCUUGGAAAAGUCAACAGUAGUUGAAAGUUGACUUAGGUCAUGGGAGUCCUGGCACGAAUUCCAUGCUCCAGCCCAGGAGAGUCUGAGCCGUCCGUAUUGUGGCUAUUAUGGAAGGAAAUUAGAGGCAGUAUCCAAGUCCUCCCAUGGCCUUCUUAGGAUCUUCCAGCAAGCAGGGAAGGGAGCAAGACUGAUCUACAGAACUCCCGAAGCUUUGUAAAGAGGUAGCAUCAAUGAACGGGAGGGAGGGCCCAGUGGUAAGAGCUUGCACCGCUUCUGUUAGAGAUUCUAAGUUUAGUUCCCAGAAUCCACUGGAUGACUCACAGCUUCCCGUAACUCUAGUCCCAGAGGGACUUAGCCCCUGGCCUCCAAGGGGCACCUGGACUCAUGUAGACAAACCUACUCAUAGACACACCUACUCAUAG